AGUUCAGAAGAAGGGUUUGGCUUAUCUUUUUCCCUCUCUCUCUCUAGGAAUUUCUCUCUCUACAAGGAAUCGAGGGUUUAAGCUGGAUUCUACUCUUUGCUUGAUGUUGGUUGGCAGGGAGUGUCUUGGAGCUACUGUUGAAGGAGUUUUAAGGAGUAUUUCACAGCCUUGAACACUGAUAUAGCUGGUUGAGGUUUUGGAGAGCUGGUUGGGGAGAGUUUUCAGCAACUGUAGAAGCCAGGUUUUGAGAUUAUUUUCUACCCUAACUCAAGAGAAAAGCUGGAAUUAAACCUGGACUUGGCAGCUCACAUAGUGCUGAAUACUUGGCAGUGGUGGGCUGGAUUGAAGAUAUUUCAAUCAGCAGGAAGCCGAGAUACAACAGAUUUGCGACAGAUCGUCGAAUGGUUCUUAGCUGAUAUCCGAGAGCUUUCGAAGGUUCAAUUUGAUGUAAUAACUUGAACCAAAAUAGGGAUUCAAGCUAUAGCAUUGUGCAAGGACUUAUUUAAACAGAAUCGAGCCGAUCUGGAGCUGCUUCAACUUGGAUUGAAGUAGAGGUUAUAAACCUAGGGGACUUAGAAGCUUUGGACUUCACACUAUUACUAAUCCAAUCAGAGCUUCAACUAAUAGAGCCACCUACAGGAGAGGCUAGGGAUCGCAGCAAAGGAGUCGCGUCUAGCUAGACCUAGCUUGCGGUUUUACUAGGUGAUCACCUUGCUACUCGUGCUACGGUCGAGGGUGAUGUACCCGUGUAUAGAGAGACUGCCAUUGUACAUGUAUUUUGAGUAGCCCUGUGAUGUAUAUGAAUAGGCGAACCGGGGAUUAUACUUUUAUAUUUCUCUACGAUGUGAGAUUUUGGGUUGUGUACUUUUUGUUGAUAGUAUUAUUGACUUAUAGUUUGCUAUGAUAUCGGGAUAGGAUUCUUUUAUGUUUUUCUCCUAUCGACAUGUUCUUUUUGUAUACGCCUUAUAUACUGCAGAUGUAUGGCGGGUCUGUACACGUGCCGGAUAUGCUU